GUGAUUCGUGAUUACAUGAGUGCGUUUCGGAGUGCAGUCAUUGAAUGACGUAUUAUUUGACUUUACGGCAAACGUGGUACAAAGAUAAAGUUGAUAAAAUUGAUUGAAAAUUAUUGUUUAUUCAUACCAAGAAUAAAGAUCUGAAGCGAACAAUUCGCGAAUUAAAAUAAGGAUUUUUAACAUUUGUUUUGGGUACUCGCGUACCCUUUUAUUGACAGAAAAGAGGUACUCUUUUUGUACAAUACACGUGGCCGGCUAUCGUCAAAUUGUCUUUCAUCAGUCUCCUUUCGACAAAAAUCGUUUUCCGAAACGUUAUUUUGUUUUGUUAAUCUGAAUUCUUCUCUCGAGAGCAAAGUGUUUUGUUGGCGAGAAUUUAUUUCCAACAAAAUCAACUUGGUCAUCUCUGCGUGCUUAACAAUGGCAGAUAUAUCAACGAAUAUGGGUAUCACGCGAAAAAUGUCCUUCGGUAUCAAUAGUAAAUUCAAUGGCAUCGAGAGUAAGACGCCUUUUUUGAUAGGCGUUUCUGGUGGCACUGCAAGUGGAAAAUCCACAGUAUGCAAGCGUAUAAUGGAGAAAUUGGGACAAGUAGAUAUGGAUCACCAGCAGCGUCGAGUAGUCUGUAUAUCACAAGACAGUUUUUAUCGUAACCUAACACCUACUGAGAAAUUGAAAGCUGAGAAAGGACAAUACAAUUUUGAUCAUCCUGAUGCGUUUGAUGAUGAUUUAAUCUUACAAACACUACAGGAUAUACUUGCUGGAGUCAAGUGUGAAAUACCAGCUUAUGACUAUAGAACAAACAGUUUAAUGAAAGAUCAAGUUACCACGAUAUAUCCUGCUGAUGUAGUGCUAUUUGAAGGAAUAUUGGUAUUUUACUUCCCCAAAAUUCGUGAUUUAUUUCACAUGAAAUUAUUUGUAGAUACUGAUUCUGAUACUAGGCUUGCAAGGAGAGUGCCAAGAGACAUAAAGGAACGUGGAAGGGAUUUGGAUUAUGUCCUAAAUCAGUAUAUGAACUUUGUAAAACCAGCUUUUGAAGAAUUCUGCUUACCAACAAAAAAAUUUGCAGAUGUUAUAAUACCAAGAGGAGCAGAUAAUACAGUGGCAAUAGAUCUAAUAGUGCACCACAUCUGGGAUAUUUUGCGUUUGAAAAAGGCCGAAAACUCAACCGGGCAGCAUCCAUUCUUCUACCAGCAUAGGCGUACCUCGGCCUCAUCCGACACACUCAGCAGAUGACUUAAGCAUGAUAAGCUCACUCUGUCAGGCACUGCAUUUUUUUCUACACACCAUACCCUUAUUGGCGAUAGAUCUGAUUGUGCAGCAUAUAAGAGACUUCUUAAGCAACUGUGGUAGAGAAAUGUCGGAGCCUGAAAGUCCAAUAAACAGGAUAGAGGGAUUGUUCAAGAGGCCACAUUAAUUUUUUUAAUUUUAACAUUUCACAGAAAUUUGCUGAGCUAAUCGUGUUUUGCUUCUUUUCUUUUGUGUAUAUAUUAUGGAUUUU
rnacentral:misc_RNA from 1 species